rnacentral:lncRNA from 1 species
GUGCCAUAUGUCCUACUCUGCCAUAUGAAAAGCAUGCUCUAAAUUUUUUGAGAUAAGGUCCAUAAUGAUUUUUAUCAUAGUAUUCAUAGGCUACGGCUUCUUUAUUCUUAUCUAAUUUAUUUGUUGAAUUUUUUGAUUGGUUAUUUAGAUUUUCUAGUAGUCUCGGUCUCUUUUUAUUAUUCCUCUCCUAUUUCAAUCUUUUCAUACUGAAUUUUACUUUCAAAGCUCAUUCUAGUAUAUCUUUAUAAUCAUUAAAAAGGUGAGAAGAUAUAUGAGAUCGAAUCCAAUAUUUGAAAUCCUAUUC